CUUGCUGGGCGUCCCUCCCCCGAGGGUUUUCCUUCCUGCCUGCCUGUGAGUGGGAAGCAGCUGUGGUCCCUCCUUUCCGCCUUCCUCGACCCGCAGCUUUAGACGUUGAAUUACAGCUCCCUGCUGAUCUCAUCAGAGAGCAGCUGAGAGCAAGCCAAUGGCCCAGGACAAAGAGGAUAUCUUGAGCAUGAUAAGGAAGUAGAAGUCUCCCCACACAAACAAGCAAGAGAGUUGUUCAAAAAGCAAAGCAGGACCUGCAAGGGCCAUGGGAGGACAGAAGCUCCAAGUCCUAGUCUCUUGCUAUCAUUAAAUAUCAUGUCUCCGCCUUGUACGGCUACUCAGCAGCAAUAAUUGGUUAUGAAGUGUGUAGCCUUUCAGAGUGGGAGGAAUUUUACCUGGGAAAUCUAUCAUCAUCUUACAGAGCAUUGAGGAAGUUCCAGAGACUAUUUGACAGCCAUUUUGGUUUCCCUGGAGCAAAUUGCUCAGCACACAUUAGACACCUAAUCAACGCUUACUGUCAUGAAAGCAAAGCAUUGUAAUCCUGUGACUUUAUUUUGUCAGGUAGAAAAAGAAUUCACACACUUGCCUUGACUGUG